GAUGAACGCUGGCGGCGUGCCUAAUACAUGCAAGUCGAGCGAAGCGGGGACGGGUGAGUAACACGUGGGUAACCUCCUAUAAGACUGGGAUAACUUCGGGAAACCGGAGCUAAACCGGAAACUUAUAGAUGGAUCCGCGUGGCUUUAGCUAGUUGGUAAGGUAACGGCGUACCAAGGCGACGAUCCAUAGCCGACCUGAGAGGGUGAUCGGCCACACUGGGACUGAGACACGGUCCAGACUCCUACGGGAGGCAGCAGUAGGGAAUCUUCCGCAAUGGGCGCAAGCCUGACGGAGCCACGCCGCGUGAGUGAAGAAGGCCUUCGGGUCGUAAAACACUGUUAGUCGGGAAGCGGUACCUAAUCAGAAAGCCCCGGCUAACUCCGUGCCAGCAGCCGCGGUAAUUC
rnacentral:rRNA from 1 species